UACACUCCUGCGGGAGGCAGCAGUGGGGAAUUUUACGCAAUGGGGGAAACCCUGACGUAGCGACACCGCGUGAGCGAAGAAGCCCUUUGGGGUGUAAAGCUCUGUCAGCUGGAACGAAAACAAUGACGGUACCAGCAGAGGAAGCAUCGGCUAACUACGUGCCAGCAGCCGCGGUAAGACGUAGGAUGCGAGCGUUGUCCGGAUUUAUUGGGCGUAAAGAGUUCGUAGGUGGUUUGUUAAGUUUGGUGUUAAAGAUCGGGGCUCAACCCUGGGACUGCACUGAAUACUGGCAGACUCGAGUGUGGUAGAGGCUAGUGGAAUUCCCAGGGUAGCGGUGAAAUGCGUAGAUAUUGGGAAGAACACCGGUGGCGUAGGCGACUAGCUGGGCCAUAACUGACGCUGAGGAACGAAAGCCAGGGGAGCGAAUGGGAUUAGAUACCCUUGUAGUCC
rnacentral:rRNA from 1 species